rnacentral:rRNA from 1 species
GAUGAACGCUGGCGGCGUGCCUAAUACAUGCAAGUCGAGCGAACAGACGAGGAGCUUGCUCCUCUGACGUUAGCGGCGGACGGGUGAGUAACACAUGGAUAACCUACCUAUAAGACUGGGAUAACUUCGGGAAACCGGAGCUAAUACCGGAUAAUAUAUUGAACCGCAUGGUUCAAUAGUGAAAGACGGUUUUGCUGUCACUUAUAGAUGGAUCCGCGCCGCAUUAGCUAGUUGGUAAGGUAACGGCUUACCAAGGCAACGAUGCGUAGCCGACCUGAGAGGGUGAUCGGCCACACUGGAACUGAGACACGGUCCAGACUCCUACGGGAGGCAGCAGUAGGGAAUCUUCCGCAAUGGGCGAAAGCCUGACGGAGCAACGCCGCGUGAGUGAUGAAGGUCUUCGGAUCGUAAAACUCUGUUAUUAGGGAAGAACAAAUGUGUAGUAACUAUGCACGUCUUGACGGUACCUAAUCAGAAAGCCACGGCUAACUACGUG